UACGUAGGGGGCGAGCGUUGUCCGGAAUCAUUGGGCGUAAAGCGCGUGUAGGCGGCCCGGUAAGUCCGCUGUGAAAGUCCAGGGCUCAACCCUGGGAUGCCGGUGGAUACUGUCGGGCUCGAGUCCGGAAGAGGCGAGUGGAAUUCCUGGUGUAGCGGUGAAAUGCGCAGAUAUCAGGAGGAACACCAAUGGCGAAGGCAGCUCGCUGGGACGUGACUGACGCUGAGACGCGAAAGCGUGGGGAACAAACAGG
rnacentral:rRNA from 1 species